rnacentral:rRNA from 1 species
AACGAACGCUGGCGGCAUGCCUAACACAUGCAAGUCGAACGAAGCCUUCGGGCUUAGUGGCGCACGGGUGCGUAACGCGUGGGAAUCUGCCCUUGGGUUCGGAAUAACAGUUAGAAAUGACUGCUAAUACCGGAUGAUGUCUUCGGACCAAAGAUUUAUCGCCCAAGGAUGAGCCCGCGUAGGAUUAGGUAGUUGGUGGGGUAAUGGCCCACCAAGCCGACGAUCCUUAGCUGGUCCGAGAGGAUGAUCAGCCACACUGGGACUGAGGCACGGCCCAGACUCCUACGGGAGGCAGCAGUGGGGAAUAUUGGACAAUGGGCGAAAGCCUGAUCCAGCAAUGCCGCGUGAGUGAUGAAGGCCUUAGGGUUGUAAAGCUCUUUUACCAGGGAUGAUAAUGACAGUACCUGGAGAAUAAGCUCCGGCUAACUCCGUGCCAGCCGCCGCGGUAAAAC